CUUAUCUGUAAGAUGAGGACGUCAGUCUACAUAACCUACGUGGAAGCAGGACUGUGGGUGAAGCCAUUUGUGACUGCUGGUUGAGUCCUCCAGAAAUGGUGAUGAUACAGGAUGGAAGAGGAGUCAGAUUCUGUCUGAUGAGUCUCUGGUGAAAGCUGUUAAGAAGCAAAGAUGUAAAUACAUUCAGAAGUGGAGAAACUCAACACUCAUCUCAGUUGAAUCUGAAGAUUCCUAUGCAAGAGGGCAGAUAGAAUCUUAUUCAUUUCCACUCAUGGAACAUAUGCCAACACUAUCAUCCAGUGGAUGCCAAGGAAAACCCUGAGUUCCCAGCACCUCUCAGGAUGUUUCAUGCCCCAGUGCAGCUCAACAAGCUGCUCUAUAGGCUGUUACUACCCUGUGGAAGCAGCUUCAUUAAAGGUA
rnacentral:lncRNA from 1 species